rnacentral:lncRNA from 1 species
GGGCAGGUGCUGGAGACGAGGAUCAGCUGGGAGGGUGACCUGGUGAGAGAUUUUCCAGCUGGCACAAAUGUCCUCUACCUUGAGGGAGGCAUGUGACAUGGGAGUUCUGUUUAAAGAGGAGAAUGGAUGGUUACACAUCCUGCUUGGGAGCCAAUCACUGAACCAGAGGGGAACACAGUGCAUGAUGGGCUGCCCUACCCACUUUACAGAUGAAGAAACCGAGGCUCGGGAAAUCAAGCUGGCAGACUUCCUCUGGAGCUUCCUCUGGACAUCUGGAGGGACGUCUUGUCAGCAGAGCAGGCUGGACUGCUUCACAAAGAGGAUGCAGCCUCGCCUCCCAGCGGGAGUCAGUUCUGCUCUGAGACGUGAGGCUCACAAUCAAAUGAAGACUCCUGCUGCUGCAUCUUGAAGAUAAUGAUGCUGUUGCUCCCAGCCGGAACCACAGCAGUGGUGAUGAGUGAACAGCCGGCAGAGUGGAGUG